rnacentral:tRNA from 1 species
ACUAUUUUGACAGAUAAAUGUAUUAAAUUUAGAAUUUAAAAAUGUAUAUAAAUUAAAUAUACAAAUAGUA